rnacentral:rRNA from 1 species
UACGUAGGGUGCAAGCGUUAAUCGGAAUUACUGGGCGUAAAGCGUGCGCAGGCGGUUAUGCAAGACAGAUGUGAAAUCCCCGGGCUCAACCUGGGAACUGCAUUUGUGACUGUAUAGCUAGAGUACGGUAGAGGGGGAUAGAAUUCCGCGUGUAGCAGUGAAAUGCGUAGAUAUGCGGAGGAACACCGAUGGCGAAGGCAAUCCCCUGGACCUGUACUGACGCUCAUGCACGAAAGCGUGGGGAGCAAACAGG